CUGGUACGGGUGCAGGUCUCAAGAGCGCCUCCCAAAACGCUCCCGCCUGCCAUCCGGGUCUCAGAGUCUGCUCCCCGGAGAGCCCCACCUGCCUGCGACAAGGACCAGAGAACUUGGUAGCAUUUCUUAACCUAUGUGACAUUCCCCGCUCUGCUUUUUUGUUGCCGGUGCCAGCUGCCAGAAAGCUCUUCGGAUGCACACGGCAAAUGCUCUUGGGCAGACCCAGCAAGUAGCAAGGAUAUCCCCGGUGAGAGGAUUACAGAGGCAGGAUGUCACUCCCUAUCCCAGACCAAUGCAGUGAGGACCUGUAUUUUAUUUUAUUUUUUAAGGUUUAUUUAUUUUGAAAAAGAAAGAGCGAGAAAAACGGAGUGCAAGCAGAGGAGCGGCAGCGAGGGAGAGAGAGAAUCCCAAGCAGGCUCCGCGCUGUCCCGUCGGCGGGGAGCCUCACUUACGCUCGACCUCACGGACCGUGAGAUCGUGACCUGAGCCAAAAUCAAGAGUCGGACGCUCAACCGCCUGAGCCACCCAGACGCCCCGAGAACCUGUAUUUUAACAAGAUCCCCAGAUGAUUCAUAUGUGUGUUAAUGUUUGAUAGACCUGUAGGCCGGGUUGACCUGUAACUGUGUCUUCCAGCAAAAGUCCUAGAGAGCAGCACAGGACAGUAUUACAGAGUGAGGCAGGAGAGCCAAGAAGUUGGAUUAUAAAAUCAGAAUUCCCAGAGGUCUCCGACGGGCUGAAAUGAUAGGCCAGAACUCACGACGUGGAAAUGGGUGGAAGCGAACAGCAUAACAUCCUGCCCAGGUGCCAAAUGGGAGAGAGCGGGCCUGGUACCAGUUAAUGCAGAAAAGCUUUCGGUGAGCUACGGAUUUAAGCAAUAGAAAGCUAACACAGGUGAUAAAGAAACAACAGCCACACAAUGAGCCAACAGUCGCCUAACUGGUGCCAACGUACAAGAUGCUGUCAAAGUCCAGGGGAAGAUGUACGUCACAAGCCGAGUCAGGAAAGAAAAAGCAAAAGAAAAGAAGAAAUGAUAUCAGCCACCGGGUUUUGGAUGCUUACUCUGGGCCAGACGUUAUGCUAAGCACCUGCCAAGCUACCUCAUUUAAUCCUUACCACCGCCAGAUUGGGCAGGUAUCCUCAUGAGGCACCUUUUACAAGAUGGUCUCUUACAGCUAAAAAAGCUUACGGAGCUUGGGUAAGGUCCUACAGCUGAUCCAAGAAGUCCUUGCUUAAUCUACACAUACGCUGCUCUCAAGGUACUACAGUAACAACUUCCUCCUGUCUCCCGCGGUCAAAAUCAAAAGCCCUUUGAAAAUGAGCGCAUGCAAGGCGGUCCCUCUAGCACCUGGUCUGCAGACACCCUCUGACAUGCUGCAUGUAUUAUUACAAGUCAUUGUGAACAUGCAUUGAGUGCUCGUUAUGUUCUAAACACUUUGCAUUAUUAAAGUGCCUUGAAUCCUCAAAAUGACCCUGGUUAGGUAAGUACUGUUAUUUUUCCUUAUUUCACAGAUGAAACACACACACACACACACACACACACACACACACACACACAAGCAAAGGCACUGAAUGGUUAAUUAACAUGCCUGAGGUCGCACAGCUAAUGAGCGGCAGAGCUAUGAUGAGGACACAGGCAGUCUGGUGCCGGAGCCCAUGCCCUCACCCCUCUGCUACUGAUUACUGCAUAUCUACCAUGUUCCCGUGUUUUCUCUAAUCUUCCCAACGUUCCCGCAAGCGGGCUAUGGCCCCAGUUUUAUAACCAAGCAACCUGAACAUCAGAGAGAUGAAAUAAACUUGCCUAAGCUCUCGGUUACUAAAUGGAAACAUCCAGAUCCCCACCAGGUCUACCCUGUCUGUCUUUUCCUGCGUGUUUUUUUGUUUUGUUUUUUUCUCUGUAGCCCCAAGCAGGUUCCCUGCUCCAUCCUCCCAGCAUCUCCCCGAGAGCUACAGCUCAGGUCUGUGCUCUGGGCAUGGAGAAAAGGAGGAGGGCGAUUAAAGAAGGUGGCGGCUGCCAGCUGCUGCUUCAAACAAAAUAGAUCCACAUUUACAAAGGCACCAGGGCUGGUUGCCUAGCAACAACUUUCUACCUCCCCAAGCUGCUCUACCCCAUCCUUAACCCACCGCACAUCACACACUCCCCUUGGCCCGCAGUGCCCUCUGAGACAUCCCCCUUCGAGGCCGCCUUUGUUCAUUUUAACCUGAUUUGCUGGGCAAAUGCUCGCAGCUUGCAACUUGCAGAGAGCCCAGGAAACACGCAAUUCAUGCCACAGAUGGCCCUGGGGCAGGCCGAACAGAGCCCUCCUCCCUGCACGGCCCAGACCUUGGCACUCGCAGGAUAUCUAAUGCUGUGGGAAGGAGAAGGUCUCAAUUUCAGGCUCUUUGUCAGAUCCCUGAAGGUUUAAAAAAAGAGUUUUGUGUUUCACAUAUGUCAGGUUCUUUAAAUAGUUCUUUGAAAUAAAAGUUUGAUUGGGAUAGAACGAAAGUAGACUGUCUGGAUUUCUUUUUUCAUCUUAUCCCCCAUGUUUGAAGUUAGAGCCUCUUAAAUUUAAACUUAUCUUCAGUUCCACCAAUCCAAAAGGCCUUGGGGCUAUUUUUGUCCUAGACUCUUAAAGGGAGGUAGGACAAGGCAGAAUACAUAGUUCUCUGAGCUCUACUUUCCAGCAGAAAUGACAAGGGACAGCCGUAGUGUAGCCCCCGGCAAGUCCAGAAGUUUCCGACUUCAUGGUGAAGUGAUGCUGACCUGAGAGCUGCAUUAUCACUCUCGGGGGCUCUAAACACUUUUGUGACCAUGGGUCCCUUUAUCCACAAGAAGAAAAAAAAUAAAGAAAAAGAUAUUAACAAUUUUGUAUUUUGCAGGUAGGUUGGUAUGAAGACAAAUACGAUCCAGGCUGGAAUCAUUAAUACAUAUUCAUUACCUUUAUCAGGAUAUGUUUAUCUUUUUUCUAAUGUCAAAAGAAAUUGAAACAUUUCCGUGAGCCCGUGAAAAUUUAUGAGUCCACACCGCUGCACCUGCUGUGCCUAAUGGAGAAGACGGGGCUGCCGAGAGCAGACCAGAACACGGCAAGCAUUAUGGAGACACUGGUACCCAGCACUGCACUCCGAGCCAUGAGAUUAGGACGAAAGUAAGAUGUGGUGCCCGCACUCAAGAGGCUCGCAGCCUGGCUGGGGAGGAAGAAAAGGCCAUGGCUGCAAUCACCGAACCACAGAAACUCAGCGUGGCCGCCACCGAUAAGAUCACCACGGCCCCUUUCUUAUUCAGGGGCCCUUGCAUCUCAUUCCCGCUGGAAGAAAUAACACAUUUGAAAAAUAGCAGUUUGAGAACAGUCCAGAGAGGUGGGAGGUGGCUGUGGCACGCAUGGUGAUGAUUGGACACUGGGGUUAAAGAAUAGCCAAGGAAGAUUUCUGGGUUGGGGGCUUGAGUGGCCAUCUUCAGGGACAAGAAAUAUGGAAGAAUGGAUUGCAGAGGGAAGUGAGUUCCGUGUUGGGCAGGUGGCGCUUGAGAUAACUUUGGGGAGUAAAAGGCAGAGAUUACUGCUGCUUGAUUCCCCGCUAGGGUCCCAUCUUUCCAUAAGUGGAUAUAGGUAGAGAAAUCUCGUGACUACUUGCCUGUAUGCGUCUGAUGCCCAGAGCUAGAGACUGGGGUGUUAUAGCAGAUGCUGGCACUUGACAUUCAUUUUCUACCUGAAGGCAGCUUAUGUUAGCACCUGCAACUCCCUGCCUUGUUCUGGCCUCAGAAUAAGGAAUAGAUAGUCUAUCCAUAGGAUAAGAUGGAAUUGCGCGAGAGUUAAUGCUCUGGAAGCAGCCCUCAUCCAGUGAUGGGUAGAAAGUUGGGAGGUCUAGGGGCGCCUGGGUGGCUCAGUUGGUUGAACGUCCGACUUCAGCUCAGGUCAUGAUCUCACAGCCUGUGAGUUCGAGCCC